GUCUCCGUAGCUCAGUGGAUAGAGCACGCGCCUUCUAAGCGCGGAGUCGCACGUUCGAAUCGUGCCGGGGACGCCA
rnacentral:tRNA from 1 species